rnacentral:lncRNA from 1 species
CCUUCCUCUACAUCGUUCACUGUCUCUUCAACAAGGAGGUACGUGAUGAGUACAGGAAGUGGCUAGGCUGUUCUUCCAGCUCCUCUACUCCAGACUCUAUGAAAGAAGCACCUUCCGUCUCUGAAGACCUGGACAAGGCUGGUGAAGAGAGACAAAACAAAGGAUCACGGCCAGGAUGAGAGCAACAUGAUACGAUACCAUCAGACCUCCAAAGCAUUUCAGCACAGUGGGCCGCCACGGUAUAUCUUUCAAUGCACACUGUACACACUAAGUAUGAGAGAGAGAGAGAGAGAGAGAGGUGUUUUUAUAUGGAUGCUAAUGACUCACAUAAUACAGCCUGACC